GAUGAAAAUAAGUAGUCUAUGAAGAUUUGUACAUAAUGUUUGUAUGAAGAAAGAAAGAAUCAUCAUUUUAAUGAAAUUUUUCUAGAGUAGAUGAAUUUGUAUUGGUACAUGAAAUUUUGAAAUUGUCUAAAUUGGUGAAUAAUGGCUAGAUUUUGUUGCCAGUGGAUUUUGUGCUACUUUUUCUAUUAUUGAAAUAUGUAUCAAACUGAAAAUGAAAAUUAAAGAGUUAUGAUGCAUAUGUUGACAGAACACCAAUAUAAACUCCCCCUCAAGAACUCGAGACAGUGCUCUAAUCUACGCCCUAAACUAAAAUUUUCUUCAUAACAAAAUCUCAAAAGGGUUUAGCUUCAAUACAUAUGGGAUAUGGCUCUGAGUAUCAUCCAACUGGCUUAGUGUCGUGUAUAUAUGACAAGGAUGUAUCAAGAUUCUAAAAUUCAAAUCUACAAAGCUAUCUUGACUAUUUGUAGCUAAUUACUAUAGGUGUUUGAGAGAACUGAUUGGCGAAGCUCGUGUGACCAUGACUUCAUUAACUUUGACUCUUGGACAUCCUAACUUAUUUCACCACAAAUGAAAUAUGUAAAAUUCAGCGUGCUGAAUCCAUUUGCUUGCUGGCCCAAGAUUUGAGUUGGUAUUUCUUUCGUUUUCGCAAACAGUUUUUCGUGCUUAUACCUUAUUGUGACAAGUCCAAACUGGUUCAUUUGAAGAACAAUGUGGAAUUAUAGGGAGACAAUUAAAUAGAAAGUUUCAAAAAUCAUUGACUAGACCAGGCUUAGGCUAGGGAAGCAAGUUUUUUCUUAGUUCAGAGACUUAUUCCCAUCAUAUUGUUUCAAUUUUAAAUUCGUUAUUUAGUGUAGAUUUGACUAUGCCAUGCAGAUAAAUGAACUUAUAUAUUUACAAUUGUUGUCUACCUAUUAGAAUGCUACAUUAAUGUAGUUUUGUGCAUAAUUUCUACAAUCUUACCUCUUUGGCUUCUAUUAGCUUUUCUUUGAGAAAAUUGAGGUUGUUAAAGUUCUUAUACUAACACUUGUUGCUGUCGUGCCAACUUCAGCAGCAUCAAAGUGAAGAGAUGUUAAAGGCAAAUAGAGAAAGCGACGGGAUAGGAAGGAGGCAGAGAAUGCGUACACCACUCAGGGGCUUUGUCGUGUUCGACUUAUUCAUGGUCUUGUUCUUCACUAAUGUUAAUAAAAUAUUGUAAACUUGCACUAGAUUUCCUGAAUGGUUGAUGCACUGAAUGUAUAGUUGAUGCUUUAGUACUGUUAAGUGCUUCAUUUCUAGGAUAUUACCGUUUUGUACUAGAUUUCCUGAAUUUCAGUUAGUUUAAUAAAAUAAGUAUGUUGACAGUGAAUAUCGUGUGUAUUUUUUCCCUUUGAAAACUG
rnacentral:lncRNA from 1 species